rnacentral:rRNA from 1 species
GACGAACGCUGGCGGCGUGCUUAACACAUGCAAGUCGAACGGAAAGGCCUGCUUUCCCUUGUGGAUUGCGGGUACUCGAGUGGCGAACGGGUGAGUAACACGUGAGUGAUCUGCCCCCAACUUGGGUAUAAGCCUGGGAAACUGGGUCUAAUUCCCGAUAGGACUGCAGGGUGGUGCCUGUGGUGGAAAACGAUUUUCUAGUGGUUGGGGAUGAGCUCGCGGCCUAUCAGCUUGUUGGUGGGGUAAUGGCCUACCAAGGCGGCGACGGGUAGCCGGCCUGGGAGGGUGGACGGCAACAUUGGGACUGAGAUACGGCCCAGACUCCUACGGGAGGCAGCAGUGGGGAAGAUUGCACAAUGGGCGGAAGCCUGAUGCAGCGACGCCGCGUGGGGGAUGACGGCCUUCGGGUGGUAAACUCCUUUCGACCGCGAGGAAGCCACCUGGUUGGAAGGGUGGUGACGGUAGUGGUAGAAGAAGCACCGGCUAACUACGUG